rnacentral:rRNA from 1 species
UCGGGAAUAUUGGUCAAUGGGCGAAAGCCUGAACCAGCCAUGCCGCGUGGAGGAUGAAGGCCUUCGGGUCGUAAACUCCUUUUCUGAGGGAAGAACAGCCUGGGGAGGAAAUGCCCUGGGUUUGACGGUACCUCAGGAAUAAGCAACGGCCAACUCCGUGCCAGCAGCCGCGGUAAUACGGAGGUUGCAAGCGAUGUUCGGAAUUACUGGGCGUAAAGGGAGCGCAGGCGGCCGAAUCAGUGUGAAGUGAACUCCCGGAGCUUAACUCCGGACGUGCGUUGGAUACUGUUGGGCUUGAGUUCGCGAGAGGUAAGCGGAAUUCCAGGUGUAGCGGUGAAAUGCGUAGAUAUCUGGAGGAACAUCGGUGGCGAAAGCGGCUUACUGGCGCGAUACUGACGCUGAGGCUCGAAAGCGUGGGGAGCGAACG